rnacentral:rRNA from 1 species
UUGAUCCUGGCUCAGGAUGAACGCUAGCGGCAGGCUUAACACAUGCAAGUCGUGGGGUAACAGAUGGACAGAUCCUUCGGGUGACGAUCAUGCUGACGACCGGCGCACGGGUGAGUAACGCGUAUGCAACCUGCCCCUGACAGGAGGAUAGCCCUAGGAAACUGGGAUCAAUACUCCAUGUAUUAUCAAAUAGGCAUCUAUUACAUAAUAAAGCUACGGCGGUCAGGGAUGGGCAUGCGUGCCAUUAGUUAGUUGGUGAGGUAACGGCUCACCAAGGCAUCGAUGGCUAGGGGUUCUGAGAGGAUGAUCCCCCACACUGGUACUGAGACACGGACCAGACUCCUACGGGAGGCAGCAGUGAGGAAUAUUGGUCAAUGGGCGCAAGCCUGAACCAGCCAUGCCGCGUGCAGGAUGACUGUUCUAUGAAUUGUAAACUGCUUUUCUGCGGGAAGAAAUGUACCUACGUGUAGGUAUUUGCCGGUACUGCAGGAAUAAGCAUCGGCUAACUCCGUGCCAGCAGCCGCGGUAAUACGGAGGAUGCAAGCGUUAUCCGGAUUCAUUGGGUUUAAAGGGUGCGCAGGCGGUGUAUUAAGUCAGUGGUGAAAUGCUGCGGCUCAACCGUAGACUUGCCAUUGAUACUGGUACACUUGAAUGUAGUUGAGGUAGGCGGAAUGUGUAAUGUAGCGGUGAACUGCUUAGAUAUUACACAGAACACCGAUUGCGAAGGCAGCUUACUAAACUAUGAUUGACGCUGAGGCACGAAAGCGUGGGGAGCGAACAGGAUUAGAUACCCUGGUAGUCCACGCUGUAAACUAUGAUCACUGGUUGUUGGCAAUAUACCGUCAGCGACUGAGCGAAAGCCUUAAGUGAUCCACCUGGGGAGU